UUUGAAAUCAAAAAGGGAGAUGUAAGGGUGCUCUGGAAGCAGCCGAGAGAGAGAGAGAGAGAGAGAGAGAUCCAUUACUUAUAUGUAUAUGGUGAUCGAUCCGCUGGUGCAAACCGUGGGAAAACAAGAGAUGAAGAAUAAUGAAGAAGAAAGCUUAUGGGUAGCCAAAAAUUCAAGCUAAAAGUUGUAAAAAAAAAAUUCACCUCAAGGUCACGCGCCAUUGUCUGCCUGAUUUAUCUAAUAUGUCCAGUCCAUCUGAUUUGCUUCUGCAACCAUCUGUGAUCAGGCGCGUGACCAGGCUUGGAGGCAUCU